rnacentral:rRNA from 1 species
UACGAAGGGGGCUAGCGUUGUUCGGAAUUACUGGGCGUAAAGCGCACGUAGGCGGCUUUGUAAGUUAGAGGUGAAAGCCCGGAGCUCAACUCCGGUACUGCCUUUAAGACUGCAUCGCUUGAAUCCAGGAGAGGUGAGUGGAAUUCCGAGUGUAGAGGUGAAAUUCGUAGAUAUUCGGAAGAACACCAGUGGCGAAGGCGGCUCACUGGACUGGUAUUGACGCUGAGGUGCGAAAGCGUGGGGAGCAAACAGG